UACGAAGGGUGCAAGCGUUACUCGGAAUUACUGGGCGUAAAGCGUGCGCAGGCGGUUUUGUAAGUCUGACGUGAAAUCCCCGGGCUCAACCUGGGAAUUGCGUUGGAGACUGCAAGGCUGGAGUCUGGCAGAGGGGGGUAGAAUUCCACGUGUAGCAGUGAAAUGCGUAGAGAUGUGGAGGAAUACCGAUGGCGAAGGCAGCCCCCUGGGAUAACACUGACGCUCAUGCACGAAAGCGUGGGGAGCAAACAGG
rnacentral:rRNA from 1 species